UCGGCUUAGAGUUUGAUCAUGGCUCAGAGUGAACGCUGGCGGUAGGCCUAACACAUGCAAGUCGAACGGCAAGAGAGCUUGCUCUCUGCGAGUGGCGGACGGGUGAGGAAUACAUCGGAAUCUACCUUUUCGUGGGGGAUAACGUAGGGAAACUUACGCUAAUACCGCAUACGACCUUCGGGUGAAAGUGGAUCGUCACGCGGAUAGAUGAGCCGAUGUCGGAUUAGCUAGUUGGCGGGGUAAAGGCCCACCAAGGCGACGAUCCGUAGCUGGUCUGAGAGGAUGAUCAGCCACACUGGAACUGAGACACGGUCCAGACUCCUACGGGAGGCAGCAGUGGGGAAUAUUGGACAAUGGGCGCAAGCCUGAUCCAGCCAUACCGCGUGGGUGAAGAAGGCCUUCGGGUUGUAAAGCCCUUUUGUUGGGAAAGAAAAGCCAUGGGUAAUCCUGUGGUCUGACGGUACCCAAAGAAUAAGCACCGGCUAACUUCGUGUCAGCAGCCGCGGUAAUACGAAGGGUGCAAGCGUUACUCGGAAUUACUGGGCGUAAAGCGUGCGUAGGUGGUGGUUUAAGUCUGCUGUGAAAGCCCUGGGCUCAACCUGGGAAUUGCAGUGGAUACUGGAUCACUAGAGUGCGGUAGAGGGUAGUGGAAUUUCCGGUGUAGCAGUGAAAUGCGUAGAGAUCGGAAGGAACAUCAGUGGCGAAGGCGACUACCUGGGCAACACUGACACUGAGCA
rnacentral:rRNA from 1 species